rnacentral:ncRNA from 1 species
AUAAUAAAUUAUUUCUGGUUUUUAAUUUAUUAAUUAUUUAAAUUAUAUAUAAAUUAUUAAAUAAUAAAAAUUAUUUUUUAAAAAAAAUUAAUUUUAUAUAUUUAAAUAUAAUAUUUAAUUUUAAAAGAUUAGUUAAAGAAAUUUAAUUUUAGUAAUAUAAAUUUAAUUAUUAAUAAAAAUUGUGCCAGCAAUUGCGGUUAAACAAUUAAUAAAAAUAAAUUUAAAAAAUAAAUUUUAAAUUAUUAUUAUAUAAAGUUUAUAGAUUUAAUUUACAUAUAUUUUAAAUUAAUUUAGUAAAAUAAAAUAAUUUAAUAAGUUAAAUAAAAAAUAUAAAAAAUUUAAAAAAAAUAAAAUUAGACUAGGAUUAGAUACCCUAUUAUAAAUUUAAUAAUUAAGAAAAAAUUAAUUAAUUAAAUUAGUAAAAUUUAAAAUUUGAAAAUUAAAGAAUUUGACGGUAUUUAAAUCAAUUUAGAGGAAUUUGUUUAGUAAUUGAUAAUCCACAAUUUAUAAAACUUAUAUUAAAAUUUGUAUAUCGUUGUUAUAAAAAAAUUUUUAUUUAAAUUAAAAUUUUUUAAUAUUUAAAAUUAAAUUUAUAUCAAAUCAAGAUACAGUUUAUUGAUAAGAAUUAAAAUGAAUUACAAUAAUAAAUAUAAUAAUUAUGUAAAUUUAUUGAAAAUAAAUUUAUUUAAUUGGAUUUAAAUGUAAUAAAAAAUAAAUAUUUUUUAUGAUUUAUGUUUUUAAAUAAGUACAUAUUGCCCGUCACUCUCGAAAAAUAAUUUUAAUAAUUGAGAUAAGUCGUAACAUAGUAGAAGUAUUGGAAAAUGUUUCUAGAUUGAU